UACGGAGGGUGCAAGCGUUAUCCGGAAUCACUGGGCUUAAAGCGUGUGUAGGCGGAUGUCUAAGUACCUUGUGAAAUCCCACGGCUCAACCGUGGAACUGCUUGGUAUACUGGAUGUCUUGAGCCAUCUAGGGGCUACCGGAACAAAUGGUGGAGCGGUGAAAUGCGUAGAUAUCAUUUGGAACGCCAAUGGUGAAAACAGGUAGCUGGGGAUGUGCUGACGCUGAGACACGAAAGCCAGGGGAGCGAACGGG
rnacentral:rRNA from 1 species